rnacentral:ncRNA from 1 species
AUAGUGAAAAUCAUUGUGAGUGCCUGUUGUAUUGUUUAACAACAGGAUAAUAGGGAAAUCGGUGAAAAUCCGAUGCAGCCCCCGCUACUGUAUAUGUCAUUGAAAUUGUCAUACACCACUAGCAUUUAUGCUGGGAAGGGACGAAAGUAAAGAAAGGCAUAAGCCAGGAGACCUGCUCAUGAAGUGAUUCCAUU